ensembl:snoRNA
GGUCGAUGAUGAUUGGUAAAAGGUCUGAUUGCACUAAACGUCACAGUCCCCUCCUUGCCCUCGACUCCCAGCAGCCCACUUGGUGUCCUGGCACAUUAAGUCACGUGCAUGGGAUGGUGGUGCAGCUGAUAACUCGGGAACCUGUCAGCACGUGCUUCUGAGAGCUGUAGUUCACAGCUGACAGUGUCCGACAGAACCGCCCUCGAGGAGACUGGAGAGCGGCAGUCGGGGUGUGAUGGUGCAUGAUCUCAAGUUUUCAAUCUGAGACC